CCGGCCGGGCGGUCGCCCUGACAACGCAGACGCCAGCCCGCACAAUGACUUCCAGCUGGAGCAGCCCAGCCAGCCUGCGCGCUCACUCGCUUGCUUGCGCUGGGCUUCAGGGCGCCCGGAUUUCUUGCUUCAAAACAGCUGCAUUUUUGGAAGAAAGUCCACAACUGACAACUAAGCAAAACCCUCCUGGUGGAUAGCAUAAAUCUGCUUUGUUGAAGCUGCUCAUUUGUCUGAUCUAUGAGUCCAGAAGAUGCAAACUCCCUUCCCAGCUUAUGCAAAAAUACUUCCAGUAAAAACAAGCCCUUUGGCCCUUUUCUUUUGUCA
rnacentral:lncRNA from 1 species